rnacentral:rRNA from 1 species
CAGUAGCCGCGGUAAUACGUAGGUGGCAAGCGUUGUCCGGAAUUAUUGGGCGUAAAGCGCGCGCAGGCGGAUCAGUCAGUCUGUCUUAAAAGUUCGGGGCUUAACCCCGUGAGGGGAUGGAAACUGCUGAUCUAGAGUAUCGGAGAGGAAAGUGGAAUUCCUAGUGUAGCGGUGAAAUGCGUAGAUAUUAGGAAGAACACCAGUGGCGAAGGCGACUUUCUGGACGAAAACUGACGCUGAGGCGCGAAAGCCAGGGGAGCGAACGGGAUUAGAUACCCCCGUAGUCCCUGUCUCUUAUACA